UAAGUCUUGCCAUUGGCGAUCUUA
rnacentral:siRNA from 1 species